AGUGCUUUGGGGAUGGGCGCUGACUCCAGCGCGUUUGACAUGGAUUUGAGGAGUUUCUGUAUAAGUGCUGCACCAUGAAGAGCUGCUGUCUCACCCUCUCAGCUGUCUCACCUCUCCAGUCACCGCCUGUCGGUCCCACGACUGACAUUUUAAUUCCAACGCACGCCCCCACCUCUUCCACUUGUCAGCCCUCGAACCUGUGCAGGACCUGCACUGACAGCUGGUGAUACAGAGUGCUUUCUAGAAAAUGCAGUUCAGAGAACGGAUUAGACGCUGAUCAAAAAGAUGAAUCCAUCUGUGAAUGAAUGAAUGAAUGUUUGCGAUCAAAGACAGGCAGCGACGUGCAGCGUGGCCUUCAGUUUGCUGUCUCUGGAGCGUAACGUUUGGUUUACCCCAAGACCGCAGGGCUGAUGGCAGCAAUACCAUUAGAAUGAGGCAAAAAGUUGAAAUUCAAGGUGCUAAUGACCAGAGGAGUGAUGAGAAUCAGUGUAGAGGAAGGACGGGACGGACUUCAUCUCGUGCACAGACUUCCUGAAGCUGUCAGACGAAAUCUCCAGCACUCUUCCCCAGUGUGACGAGUGACACAGCGUCUGGACGCUCUUGUCUUUCAGCAUUCUAAUGCUUAGCCUUAAGAAAGGGUCUGUCCUGUGUUCAGAGUCACCUUUCACUGCCACAUAUCCCAGAGUUCAUAGCAGCGUUCCGGGAAACGAGGGCUGGGGGGGAGCCGCUGGUGCGGCAGAUAAGGGUCCGUCUAAAGACGCAGACCCCCCAGAGUAAAAGAUAGCAUCCAGACAGUCACAGCAAAGACCUGCCACAUAAUACACACACUCGUCCACCCCCUCUCUCUUUCCCCUCCAAAUCUCCCCCCCAUCUCGGGCCCUCUCGACCUCCUGUCAUCACCAGCUUUCACGCUCCUGCCGGAGAAAGCCCCCGACUGGUGUACGGUUAUCCUCAGCUCCGUCCGAUUCUCGGAAGGCCAAGUUCACCUUUGCUGAUGAGGAGAUGAUAAGCACUGAUAGUCGGGUAUAGGAAUCGAUCAGCUUCCACUGUUGACAUACCUCCGUGUGUAACCUGUAAUCUGGCGGAGGCAGAAACCUCUCCGAAGGCGUUCCUGGCGGUACACGUGUACACACCUGCAUCACUCGGACCGACUGCUUGAAUCUGGAACCAGCCGGUCAGUUCAAACCGCCGCGGGCGGCCGCGAGCCUGUAAUUACACACAAACACUGCUACACAUCACACAGAACUCAGAACGUGUCUGUAAUGUCAAACUGAGAGAGGUCAUUUGUGUGCGUGUAAGUAUGUGUUUUCAACUUCACGUAGAACAAUGCGUUAGGAAAUAACAACUCGGAAGAAAUCUCUUCUUUGUGCACUUAGACCACAAGCAUUAAAAUAUGAAUAAAUAUGUUUUUAUUUUGUCUUCGGCUAUAGUUUCUUUAUUAUUCUCUGUAACGGCAACAUUACAGAUGAUGUUGCUUUUUUCUAUGAUUUUUUUAAGAUUAUUUGUGAUGUUCUUGAUUUGAAAGUCGCUCUAGAAAAAAGCAUCUGCAAAACGUAAAUGUGAUGUCAUUUUACAUUUACUGAAGGUUGCUAUAUUAACUAAAACGUCAGAAGAGUCCAUCACAUCAUCCCUUUAACAUUCUUGUCUUUAGA